UCUACGGGGUGCAGCAGUCGGGAAUAUUGCGCAAUGGAGGAAACUCUGACGCAGUGACGCCGCGUGCAGGAAGAAGGUUUUCGGAUUGUAAACUGCUUUAGACAGGGAAGAAAAAAGACAGUACCUGUAGAAUAAGCUCCGGCUAACUACGUGCCAGCAGCCGCGGUAAUACGUAGGGAGCAAGCGUUAUCCGGAUUUAUUGGGUGUAAAGGGUGCGUAGACGGGAAAACAAGUUAGUUGUAAAAUCCCUCAGCUUAACUGAGGAACGGCAACUAAAACUAUUUUUCUUGAGUGCUGGAGAGGAAAGUGGAAUUCCUAGUGUAGCGGUGAAAUGCGUAGAUAUUAGGAGGAACACCAGUGGCGAAGGCGACUUUCUGGACAGUAACUGACGUUGAGGCACGAAAGUGUGGGGAGCAAACAGGAUUAGAUACCCUGGUAGUC
rnacentral:rRNA from 1 species